GACGAACGCUGGCGGCGUGCUUAACACAUGCAAGUCGAACGAAGAGCGAUGGAAGCUUGCUUCUAUCAAUCUUAGUGGCGAACGGGUGAGUAACGCGUAAUCAACCUGCCCUUAAGAGGGGGACAACAGUGGGAAACGACUGCUAAUACCGCAUACGAUCAAACCCCGGCACCGAGGAUAGAUGAAAGGUGGCCUCUACAUGUAACCUAUCACUGAAGGAGGGGAUUGCGUCUGAUUAGCUAGUUGGAGGGGAAACGGCCCACCAAGGCGAUGAUCAGUAGCCGGUCUGAGAGGAUGAACGGCCACAUUGGGACUGAGACACGGCCCAGACUCCUACGGGAGGCAGCAGUGGGGAAUCUUCCGCAAUGGACGAAAGUCUGACGGAGCAACGCCGCGUGAGUGAUGACGGCCUUCGGGUUGUAAAGCUCUGUUAAUCGGGACGAAAGGCCUUCUUGCGAAUAGUGAGAAGGAUUGACGGUACCGGAAUAGAAAGCCACGGCUAACUACGUG
rnacentral:rRNA from 1 species